rnacentral:rRNA from 1 species
GACGAACCGAGCGAACGUUAUUCGGAAUCACUGGGCUUAAAGGGCGCGUAGGCGGUCGAUCAAGUCAGGGGUGAAAGCCCCCAGCUCAACUGGGGAAGUGCCUCUGAUACUGGUCGCCUCGAGGGAGGUAGGGGCGUGCGGAACUUCCGGUGGAGCGGUGAAAUGCGUAGAUAUCGGAAGGAACACCGGUGGCGAAGGCGGUUCUCUGGGCCUUACCUGACGCUGAGGAGCGAAAGCGUGGGGAGCGAACAGG